AACCCAGCAAGGAUGCUGCCUCUGAGGUUGUGUAUGAGGAGCUGGACUACAGCCUGAUGCCUGAUUACCAGGAAGUGCCCAGCCACACAGGCUCCCUGUCCCAGGGCUCAGGGAGAAAACUGUCAGAUCACAGUGGGGACGGUGUAGAUGAGAGCGACCUCCAGGUGUCCCCAGAUUACCCUGCCCAGCCCCAGCACAGCCCCUCACAUGGCUACGACGAUGCUAUGGCUGUGCCGGAGCAUUC